CCUAUACUGCAAGUCGAGCGGACAGAAGGGAGCUUGCUCCCGGAUGUUAGCGGCGGACGGGUGAGUAACACGUGGGUAACCUGCCUGUAAGACUGGGAUAACUCCGGGAAACCGGAGCUAAUACCGGAUAGUUCCUUGAACCGCAUGGUUCAAGGAUGAAAGACGGUUUCGGCUGUCACUUACAGAUGGACCCGCGGCGCAUUAGCUAGUUGGUGAGGUAACGGCUCACCAAGGCGACGAUGCGUAGCCGACCUGAGAGGGUGAUCGGCCACACUGGGACUGAGACACGGCCCAGACUCCUACGGGAGGCAGCAGUAGGGAAUCUUCCGCAAUGGACGAAAGUCUGACGGAGCAACGCCGCGUGAGUGAUGAAGGUUUUCGGAUCGUAAAGCUCUGUUGUUAGGGAAGAACAAGUGCAAGAGUAACUGCUUGCACCUUGACGGUACCUAACCAGAAAGCCACGGCUAACUACGUGCCAGCAGCCGCGGUAAUACGUAGGUGGCAAGCGUUGUCCGGAAUUAUUGGGCGUAAAGGGCUCGCAGGCGGUUUCUUAAGUCUGAUGUGAAAGCCCCCGGCUCAACCGGGGAGGGUCAUUGGAAACUGGGAAACUUGAGUGCAGAAGAGGAGAGUGGAAUUCCACGUGUAGCGGUGAAAUGCGUAGAGAUGUGGAGGAACACCAGUGGCGAAGGCGACUCUCUGGUCUGUAACUGACGCUGAGGAGCGAAAGCGUGGGGAGCGAACAGGAUUAGAUACCCUGGUAGUCCACGCCGUAAACGAUGAGUGCUAAGUGUUAGGGGGUUUCCGCCCCUUAGUGCUGCAGCUAACGCAUUAAGCACUCCGCCUGGGGAGUACGGUCGCAAGACUGAAACUCAAAGGAAUUGACGGGGGCCCGCACCAGCGGGNGGAGCAUGUGGUUUAAUUCGAAGCAACCNNAAGAACCCUUACCAGGUCUUGACAUCCUCUGACAACCCUAAAAAUAGGGGUUUCCCUUCGGGGA
rnacentral:rRNA from 1 species